ACGAAAGUUUAACGACCUGCGCUCUGCAGGGGGGACGGGGUGGGGUGGUGACAGGGGAAGCGUCCGCCAGUCUCCCUCGUGUACAUCCUGCCGCUGUGGCUGAUUCCAAGCUCUUAACAUGAUGCCCCUCCACGCGGAGCUGAACAGAGACCGGCUCUCAGGGACUGGCGCGUUUUGCUUCCAGCACGCGAACCCGAGUCGUGAGUAAAUUCGCGAGUAGUCCGUCCUGGGCGCCUGGGAGACACUUGCGCACGCCUGGUGACCCAGUGUGUGUGAUGGGAGAGCUGCUCAGGCCAGAGGGUCAGACUGAAAGAAGAACUUCCUGCCAAGUGCCUAGGGAGACGCUGAGCCCAAGAAGUGGGGGGUCAGAGCCCCCUCCGGACUCCUCUCCAGACACCAGAACUUUCUGCCGCUGCAGACUUUUCAAGAGUAACCGCUUCACCUGCCGGGGGCUCUCAGACGUGGAACAGAAGCCACUGGAUGGACAAAUCACCCCGUGCUGCCCAGGAUUCUUAUUUAGAGAGACCAAGCACCAAUGACAGACCCCAGGUACCCACCGAAGCCCUCGUCUCACCCUUCACUCAGCCAGAUUCUCUCCAUGGUCUCAAAGUCACUGCUUCCGGAAACAUGCUAAAAGCACCCCCAAACAGUGAGGACAGCCGUUCAUUUAAGGUAAGUCUGCUUUCGAGAAAGCCCUGCCUGGCCACGAAGCUGUCCACUUUGACCCAGUGGU
rnacentral:lncRNA from 1 species